rnacentral:tRNA from 1 species
AAAAAUAUAGGAUAUAGUCUGUUAAUUUUCAAGAUUAAAGGAGUAAUAAUAUAG